rnacentral:rRNA from 1 species
GCGUUAUUCGGAUUCACUGGGCGUAAAGGGUGCGCAGGCGGCCGUGUGUGUGAGGCGUGAAAGCCUGGAGCUUAACUCCAGAAUUGCACCUCAAACUACAUGGCUAGAGCAUUGGAGAGGGUAGCAGAAUUCACGGUGUAGCAGUGAAAUGCGUAGAUAUCGUGAGGAAUACCAGAGGCGAAGGCGGCUACCUGGACAAUUGCUGACGCUCAGGCACGAAAGCGUGGGGAGCAAAAGGG